rnacentral:rRNA from 1 species
AGUGAACGCUGGCGGUAGGCCUAACACAUGCAAGUCGAACGGCAGCACAGUAAGAGCUUGCUCUUACGGGUGGCGAGUGGCGGACGGGUGAGGAAUACAUCGGAAUCUACUUUUUCGUGGGGGAUAACGUAGGGAAACUUACGCUAAUACCGCAUACGACCUACGGGUGAAAGCAGGGGAUCUUCGGACCUUGCGCGAUUGAAUGAGCCGAUGUCGGAUUAGCUAGUUGGCGGGGUAAAGGCCCACCAAGGCGACGAUCCGUAGCUGGUCUGAGAGGAUGAGCGGCAACACGGGAACAGAAACAGGGCCCAGACUCCGAGGGGAGGAGGCAGGGGGGAAUAGGGAAAAAUGGGCGAAAGCCUGAUCAGGCCAUGCCGCGUGGGUGAAGAAGGCUUUGGGGUUGAAAACCCUUUUUGUUGGGAAAAAAAAGCAGCGGGUUAAUACCCCGUGUUCAUGAGGGAACCCAAAGAAUAAGCACGGGGUAACUUCGUG